UCCUCCUCCGUGCAGCUCCUCGGUCAGCUCCGUUCUGCUCCCAGUGUAAAUCUUACACUUACACUUGCACUGUAAACAGAACAGAGCUGACAGAGGAGCUGCAUGGAGGAGGAGGGAGCUGAUGUUAAAUUAAUGUUAUAU